rnacentral:rRNA from 1 species
UGUGGGUAGCGGUGAAAUUCCAAUCGAGCCCGGAGAUAGCUGGUUCUCCCCGAAAUAGCUUUAGGGCUAGCCUCAAGGUGAGAGAUACGGAGGUAGAGCACUGAAUGUCCUAGGGGGUAUUGCACCUACCGAAGACUAUCAAACUCCGAAUGCCGUCAUCUUAUACUUGGGAGUCAGACUGUGGGUGAUAAGAUUCAUAGUCGAAAGGGCAACAGCCCAGAUCGUCAGCUAAGGUCCCUAAAUGUAAGUUAAGUGGUAAAGGAUGUGGGAUUGCACAGACAACCAGGAUGUUGGCUUAGAAGCAGCCACUCAUUCAAAGAGUGCGUAAUAGCUCACUGGUCGAGUGAUCCUGCGCCGAAGAUUUCCGGGGCUAAAACUUACUACCGAAGCUACGGCAUCAGUAAUGAUGGGUAGGGGAGCUUCCCAUACGGGUUGAAGCAUGACCGUAAGGACAUGUGGACAGUAUGGGAGUGAGAAUGUUGGCAUGAGUAGCGAGAUGUGGGUGAGAAUCCCACAGGCCGUAAACCCAAGGUUUCCAGGGGAAGGUUCGUCCGCCCUGGGUUAGUCGGGACCUAAGCUGAGGCCGAAAGGCGUAGGUGAUGGACAACAGGUUGAUAUUCCUGUACUACCGAUAACCGUUUGAGAGAAGGGAUGACACAGUAGGAUAAGCUAAGCACACUGUUGGUUAUGUGUGCCCAAGCAUUGAGGCAGUCAAAGUAGGCAAAUCCGCUUUGAUAAUGCUGGGAUGUGAUGGGGAGCGAAAUUUAGUAGCGAAGUAGCUGAUUUCACACUGUCAAGAAAAGUCUCUAUCGAGGUUAAAGGUACCCGUACCGCAAACCGACACAGGUGGGUGAGGAGAGUAUCCUAAGGCCAGCGAGAGAACUGUUGUUAAGGAACUCGGCAAAAUGACCCCGUAACUUAGGGAUAAGGGGUGCCACCAUCAGGUGGCCGCAGAGAAUAGGCCCAAGCGACUGUUUACCAAAAACAUAGGUUUCUGCUAAGUCGCAAGACGAUGUAUAGGAGCUGACGCCUGCCCGGUGCUGGAAGGUUAAGGGGAUCUGUUAGAGCAAUCGAAGCAGUGAACUUAAGCCCCAGUAAACGGCGGCCGUAACUAUAACGGUCCUAAGGUAGCGAAAUUCCUUGUCGGGUAAGUUCCGACGCGCACGAAAGGCGUAACGAUUUGGGCACUGUC